UCCCUGGCAGUCUAGUGGUUAAGACUUGGCACUGCCAAUGCAGGGGCCCAGGUUCGAUUCCUGGUCAGGGAA